AAUUAUCCCUCACUCAGCCUCACGUUCUUCUUCUUCUCUCAAACCCCUCACUAAGCCUCACGUUCUUCUUCUUCUCUCAAACAAAAACCCUCACCAAAAACUGCUCCGCCGCGCCUGAGGCCGCGGAGCCCACCCUAUCUCCAAAUUUUCUCCACUACCUUAAUCGCAUUGCCCUCCCGAAUCCAUUUCCGACCUUAUUUUUCCUCAAUUCCCCGUCUAUCCUCUAACUCUCAACAGAUCAUAAUAUAUCAAAACCCUAAAAGCUAAAUCGAAUGGCCCUCGUGCUCAAUUGAACCUUAGAACCUUGGGGAUUCUACUCAGUGAAGCAAAAUCUACAUCGUAAUAUCAAGAAAGUGGAAGAAGAUGAAGAGGAAAGGAACGUUUGAAGAUUUACCUGGAUUUGAAGGCGCGCGUGAAAAGAAUAGAAUACCAGAGGGGAGGCUCCGACCAGCUUGAUGCGAAGAAGGCGCGGAAUAAACGCGGAGUCCUUGAGAUAGAUUUCAAUUUGAAACCGCUACAAAAACGGCGACGACAAGUACCUCAGGGAGAAUGGUUGAAGUGAAGGAGAAUGGUUAAAGUGAAGGAGAAUGGUUGAAGAGAUUGGAAGGUAGCAGGUGAUAGAAAAUGGUGGAGAGAAGAGAGAAUGGUGUGAAGAUGAUGAUGGUCUAGAGUGUGUUGAGACAUAACUGGUGAAGAAGCUGAAUGAAGGUGGAGGUUCUGAUUUUAUAACAAUGAAGGGACUGAUUUAGUGAUGUAUUUUCUGCUUGACCGGUUGUACAUAAAUGCAUAUGUUGAACUGGACAUGUAUAUAAUGUAAGCUGAAUGCUGGGAAUUGGAUAUGUCCAGACACAAGCUUAAGGUGGGUACACGAUGCUAUGUUUUUUGGAUUGAAGUUAGGUGCAAUGUUCUGUAGGUUUUUUUCUUUGUUGGCAAGUUCAUAAAAAGGUAGAGGGAAUGAAGCUGAAUUGGUACCGAGUUUGAAGAUGAAGAGGCAAAGUCUAUUGGACUUGAGUUGAAGAUUUGAGAUUAGGAUAGGUCUAGAGAUUUGUCUCUUAUUUUUUUGUUAUAAAGAAUUUUGUAAGGAUUGUAAUGGAUAGACUUUAUGGAUGAAUGGACCUUUGGGUAUGUAAUGAAUUCUUGGAUUUUCUUAAGUAUGAAUAUGCUGACCUUUUUUCAU